UAACGUCGCAAGACCAAAGAGGGGGACCUUCGGGCCUCUUGCCAUCAGAUGUGCCCAGAUGGGAUUAGCUAGUAGUGGGGUAACGGUCACCUAGGCGACGAUCCCUAGCUGGUCUGAGAGGAUGACCAGCCACACUGGAACUGAGACACGGUCCAGACUCCUACGGGAGGCAGCAGUGGGGAAUAUUGCACAAUGGGCGCAAGCCUGAUGCAGCCAUGCCGCGUGUAUGAAGAAGGCCUUCGGGUUGUAAAGUACUUUCAGCGGGGAGGAAGGUGUGGGCAAUAAACCAAGCAAUUGACGUAACCCGAAAAAGCACCCAGGGACUUAAAACUUCCCCAGUNGGGCCCAAAGGCCAAGGCCCAGACGGGAAAAAAUCAACAGGGGNAAAGAGGGGUNGGCCAAAAGGCGGAUUACACAAAUNAGGAGAAAUCACACAAUCGGGGAGCACGUACAAACAGCCGCAAAAAGCCAACCGACCGGGGAACAGGCUNCACAAAGUUCAGCGAAAGAGUCGCAAAAAUACCGACCACGAGGAAGCUUAACAAAAAACCUCAGACAAAAAANCUAGGGACAANUUUACAACAAAAANACACUUGGGAC
rnacentral:rRNA from 1 species